GUUCUCCGGUGAUGUCUUGCACUGGGCUCUGAUUGGCUGUGGUGACAAACGUGCGGCUCCACUCCUGACAUGGUGGAGUCUGAGGAGAAC